rnacentral:rRNA from 1 species
ACGCGCGGAUCAGGAGCUUGCUCCUGUGACGCGAGUGGCGGACGGGUGAGUAACACGUAGGCAACCUGCCCAUCAGACUGGGAUAACCACGGGAAACCGUGGCUAAUACCGGAUAAUCCUUUUCCGCACAGGUGGGAAAGUUGAAAGGCGGUCUUUUGGCUGUCACUGAUGGAUGGGCCUGCGGCGCAUUAGCUGGUUGGUGGGGUAACGGCCCACCAAGGCGACGAUGCGUAGCCGACCUGAGAGGGUGAUCGGCCACACUGGGACUGAGACACGGCCCAGACUCCUACGGGAGGCAGCAGUAGGGAAUCUUCCGCAAUGGACGAAAGUCUGACGGAGCAACGCCGCGUGAGUGAAGAAGGGUUUCGGCUCGUAAAACUCUGUUGUCAGGGAAGAACGCCGACGGGAGUAACUGCCCGUCGGGUGACGGUACCUGACCAGAAAGCCACGGCUAACUACGUGCCAGCAGCCGCGGUAAUACGUAGGUGGCAAGCGUUAUCCGGAAUUAUUGGGCGUAAAGCGCGCGUAGGCGGUUCGUUAAGUCUGAUGUGAAAGCCCCCGGCUCAACCGGGGAGGGUCAUUGGAAACUGGCGGACUCGAGUGCAGAAGAGGAGAGUGGAAUUCCAUGUGUAGCGGUGAAAUGCGCAGAGAUAUGGAGGAACACCAGUGGCGAACGCGGCUCUCUGGUCUGCAACUGACGCUGAGGUGCGAAAGCGUGGGGAUCAAACAGGAUUAGAUACCCUGGUAGUCCACGCGUAAACGAUGAGUGCUAGUGUUAGGGGUUUCCGCCCCU